UGCGGGUGUAGAACGUCCAACCAUCCCUUUCCCGUCCAACCACAUUUCUAACAAUGAAAUUGAAGGUGCAGUACACAACAUUCACUUAUUUUCGUCGAGGGAAGUGAAAGUGGUCUUGCUUGAACUGACACAGCAACAGAGACGAUGCCAUGCCCAAUGUGAUACCAUGCCAGCAAUCACAUCGUAUCUUAACCCAUACCCUCUUCGCAAUAAAAUAUAAACCCUAUAACCUGUCUUAUUAUAAAAUCUUCGUCUCCUUUAAGGUACACGUAUUUUCGUUUCUAAAUGGACUACAAACUUUUUUUAUAAGCAACAUGAUUCAAUAGUCUAAAUUUUUACGUACUGGUUAAAUAAUUGUUUAGUACUUACUUUGCUAAAUACCAACAAAUUUAUUAAACAAAUACUAAAUCCAUUACUUUAUUGUUACACUUGAAAUGUUCAAUUUAAGUAAAAUGAAUGUACCUUGAAA